UACGUAGGGUGCAAGCGUUGUCCGGAAUUAUUGGGCGUAAAGAGCUCGUAGGCGGUUUGUUGCGUCGGCUGUGAAAUCCCGAGGCUCAACCUCGGGUCUGCAGUCGAUACGAGCAAACUAGAGUGUUGCAGGGGAGACUGGAAUUCCUGGUGUAGCGGUGAAAUGCGCGAGAUAUCAGGAAGAACACCCCGUGGCGAAGGCGGUUCUCUGGGACGGUACUGACGCUGGAGACGCGAAAGCGUGGGGAGCGAACAGG
rnacentral:rRNA from 1 species